rnacentral:rRNA from 1 species
AUUGAACGCUGGCGGCAGGCCUAACACAUGCAAGUCGAGCGGAUGAAGGGAGCUUGAUCCUGGAUUCAGCGGCGGACGGGUGAGUAAUGCCUAGGAAUCUGCCUGGUAGUGGGGGAUAACGUCCGGAAACGGGCGCUAAUACCGCAUACGUCCUGAGGGAGAAAGUGGGGGAUCUUCGGACCUCACGCUAUCAGAUGAGCCUAGGUCGGAUUAGCUAGUUGGUGGGGUAAAGGCCUACCAAGGCGACGAUCCGUAACUGGUCUGAGAGGAUGAUCAGUCACACUGGAACUGAGACACGGUCCAGACUCCUACGGGAGGCAGCAGUGGGGAAUAUUGGACAAAGGGCGAAAGCCUGAUCCAGCCAUGCCGCGUGUGUGAAGAAGGUCUUCGGAUUGUAAAGCACUUUAAGUUGGGAGGAAGGGCAGUAAGUUAAUACCUUGCUGUUUUGACGUUACCAACAGAAUAAGCACCGGCUAACUUCGUG